ACAAGAUGGCGAUGUGAGAGACUCUUCCUUACAACAGCGGCUGCUUUUUUAAAACCUUGAGAAAGACGCCGGAGCUAAAUUUCCAUUACUUUUAGGUAGAAAAAUGGCCUCUGGUCGUAAAUUUCUGCGAUUUUUCGGUGGUUUUGUGUGUGGGGUUACUGUCAGCACUGGGGCCUGCGUGACUGCACUCAAACUCUAUCUGCAGCCUGAAGGGUCGACACAGGAGCACGAGAGUGCGGCACAGAGGCUCAUAAAGCUCUAUGGGCUUCCUGUGGAUGGCUCCGAGACCAGAUAUUACGCCAACCACAUCUUGUCUUAUGAUCAGAGUCGAAGGACGCCGAGAUGGGUUGCCGAACACCUGUCGAGUGAAAAACUACUCGGAAAAGCAGACAGAAAGCACUGCAAAUUCAAACCAGAUCCCAGUGUCCCAGAGCUGUUCACAGCACACAAUGAAGAUUACCUCGGCAGCGGCUGGUCUCGAGGACACAUGGCACCAGCUGGCGACAAUAAAUUCUCAGAGCAAUCCAUGGCCGAGACGUUCUAUCUGUCCAAUAUCGUCCCACAGAAUUACGAAAACAACGCCGGCUUCUGGAACAGGUUUGAGAUGUAUUGCAGAGAGCUGGCCGAGAGGUUUAGAGACGUGUGGGUAAUUUCAGGUCCUCUUACCCUUCCGCAAGCAGGGGAGGAUCAGAAGAAAAGAGUCUCUUAUCAGGCAGCAAGUCAACAGUCACUUCUCAAAGUUGAUGUAGCAGGCAAAAUGGUUUGGUUUCAAGGCGAGGAUACUAUCUGUCCACCUGUACGUAGAUGUGCUGAUGUGGAACAGUUGGAGUGAAACAGGAUGGCUUGCCUCUUGAGGGUGGGGUCACUGCUCUCUACUGAGAGAACACGCUUAUUCUCCAGCAGCGUCCAGGGAGCUCAUCAGGACUUUGCUGUCAUAGUAACCCCAUACAGCAAACCACACACUCCUGGGCCCACAUUUAUCUGCUUACAAACAGCUAGGAAUGGAAAGGGCUAGAAAAUGAGCCAGAAACCAAAUCUCUGGAGGCUCAGACUGACCUGACAAGCUUACCAAGGUUCUCUAAGGAGUCAUACAAGUGCAGCGUUGACACUCAGGGAAGUGUGUGUGUGUGUGUGUGUGUGUGUGUGUGUGUGUGUGUGUGUGUGUGUGUGUGUGUGUGUGUGUGUGUCUUGAUACAAAUACCACACGUGUGCUCACAGUCCUUUUAGGCGACUUUCCUGAGGAGACAAGUGCUGACAUGUGAGACAGUCCUCACACAGAUUUACUCAUUGUUUGGCCAGGCUUUAACUACUGUGGGAUUUGGUUGUUACAUGUUUUGCCAGACACACUGACUUGAGUAACACUUAUGCAAUAUGGCCAUGUGCUGUAUUUGGAGUCUUGCUUUGUCUCCUGUAUCCAUAUUUUGUUCUAUGGUAUGUGGGUAUGUUUCAGGUUUCCUGUUGGACCUUAUUGUAUCAUGUCACGAUCCCGAAUAAUAUAAUCAACAUUUUUGGUUCAGCAGUGUGCCUCACAUACAUUAUCAAAACUUAGAACACAACUAUAGACAUAUUCAACUGAUAGAUAUUUAUGUUGUAGUUAUGUAUUAGCAACAUAAUAACCGGUAAUAGACAUCCUGUGCAUAUAAAUACAAGAUAGCAUGGUUGACAAACCACUUGACCACUAAACCGUUUCUCAAGAAUACUCCUCUUGAAUAUCAACAAAUGGAUUAAUUUUUCUUAAUGCAUGCAUCUCUAAAAUGAGUGCAAACCACUUUUCUUUGCAGGAAAAAACUUUCUGGAGAAAUCGAUUAGUGGCAUCACUACAGCAAACCUGUCCCAAAAUGGCAAUUCCCUUGUGCACAAAACAAGAUCCAUUAAGACAUGGUUUGCUAAGAUUGAUGUAGAAGAACCCGAGCCCUAGCCCUGACCUUAAUCCCACUCAUCAACUUCAGGAAUGAACUGGAAUGCUGACAGCACACCAGGCUUCCUCACUUGACAUCACGGCCUGACCUCACUAACACACUUUUGACUGACCGAGUACAAAUUCCCACAGCCACGCUCUAAAAAAACAAAUGGAAAAUCUUUGCUGAAGAAUGGUGGCUAUUUUGUGUGCGACCUUAUUUUUUUGUUUUCCUAGAAGAACUCUCAUGGUAUGUUUGGAAUUUUUCCAGUCUUGAAGAUUUCAGUUCAUUUUGUAUUUCUGUAUGUUCUUAAAACGAUCUACAUAUUAAUAUCCAUUUACAUUUACAUCUACGCCAUUUUGCAGACGUCCUUAUCAAGAGCGACGUCCACAAGUGCUUUGAGUCUCUAUCAAUUAAUAAAUCAAUACUGGUUCGCUAGAUUACAAGCUUAAGAUACCGUCAGCCUACAACUCGGAGGAUUAUUAUUAUUAUUUUAUAAACAAAGAAAAAACAAUACAAAUCCUUGAUUUGUGAUUGACCAAGAAUUUUGCUUAAAUCUUAUUACAUCAAGUAUUUAUGAUUUCUGAAUUAAUGGCACCGCAAUUUAUUGCACGAUUUCAUAGCAACAGCAAACACAACUCGCAACAAAUGUAUUAAUACAUUUAGAUUGUUUCCUUAUUGUGCUUUUUACUAAAUAUACUAAUAUCGCACACCGAAAGUACCUUGUGAUUUUGAAGUAUAAAUAACGACUGGUAUUAUUAUCCCGAGUCAUCACAGAGCGCCUUCAAUACCAAUUCCGUGAGUCAGACUUCAUUUUGAAUAUAUGCUUAAAGCAAGCCAAGAUCUUAAUUGGGAAUUGUCAUGUAGUUUAGUUAUGCCCUACCAAAUAUUCCGUCUUGCUAGCUCACACUGCCACUCACUCUUUCAAACACCCACACAGUUGUUAUUUAGGAGGACCAAGCCUCUUCUGUUAACCUCUGCUGCCAUAUAAAAUGAUUUUAAAUUGACUGUGUGUGUGCGUGGGUGUGUGGGUGUGUGUGUGUUCUAAGUAAAAUGAUAGUCCCAGUUGUGUAGCUUUGACAAGGAGAAAGCUGACAGCACACGGUGUAUUGUGAGUGUUCACGUUUAGCCUUCUGUAGCUAAGGUUAAACUUAGCACUGUAAAUAUUUUUUGUGUACCCUGUAGGUUUCCUGGUGCUCACUAGGCUUUAAUUAUACUACCGAACAUACAGUAAUACACACUCAAUGGCCAAAGGUUUGUGGACACCUGAUAAUCCCAACCAUGUGCUUUUAGAACAUUACCAUUCCAGAUUCACCUCUUAUCCUAUUUUUUAUAACCUCCAUUCUCCUGGGAAGUUUUUCCACUGGCGUGGCUGUGUUGAGUAGUGAUCAUUCAUUAAGAAGAGCAUCAGUUAAUUAAGGAGGCAUGAAGGUUGGAUGAGGAGGUCUGGGGUGCAGUCAGAUCCUAAAACUGUUCAGAUGGAUUGGGGUCAAGUCAAGUUUAAUUCUAUAGCGCUUUUCACAUUGUCUCUAAACAGCUUUCCAGAAUUUUAAAAUUAGGGUAAGGGUGAGGGCUGUGUGCUGGUCACAUGAGCGCUUUUUCUCCAAACUUCACCACUACGUUUUCAUGAUGUUUUUUUUUUUUUUUGUGCACAAUGGCAUUGUCACGCUCUUUCCAUUUCUUUUCCAGUGGAUGAAACCUGAAAUUUUGGAAUGCAAAAACAUUCUAUACAGUUGUUUCAACAGUCAAGUGAAAAAACACAAUUUUUAUUUUGCUUGUCUCAACCUUCAGUGCCACCAAAAUUGGAUUUGCACCUGAUGCCAGUCAGUAGAGCAGGGUUUGUUGUUGUUUUUUAAUCAGAGAUCACCCAGAAGUGCAGUGUGCGGAAAUAAUCCUUCAGUCUACUGCUCUUCAGUUGCCAUUAAUAUUAUUAAAUAUUCAGUAGUGUUGCAGAACUGAGUGAAUACUUCGUUGCAUUAAGUUAUAUUAAGUAAUCAAUCAAAAAGCUUGCUGCUUAUAGUAAAAGCUUUUGAUUGAGUAAACGGUUAACACAGAAAAGGUUACCGAUGUAGCGCCUUCGUUUAUGGACAACCACACACCACAUUGUGUCCCUGCAGACAUGCAGUAUGAAGUACAUUGGAGUUAUUUUCAACCAUUUUGUCUAUAAAGGCCUUUUGCUUAAGUGCUGGGAAUGCUACAGCAUUUCAGCAAGAUUGUGGAGGUCACAGUGAUGACCUUUACUAUGGAAGUUAUAAAAUGCACUGAAUUAAACUAAUGGCUUAAUGGCUGUGAUUUGAUGCUAUAUGUUGAUUUUCUUCUGAAACAGGAAGGAAGGGUGAGAUUGUUUCGAAAAGCUUGGCUGCAACUGAUUGUGCCAGAUGCUACACUAGAGAAAGGCCUGCCUUCAGAAGUGGGACAUGUUCUGUAUGGCCAAAAGCAUGUUGGAACCUGACCAUCACACCCAUGUGUAGUAUUCUGCCAUGCAGUUGGAAGCACACAAUCAAUAGAAUGUCUGUGUAUGCAUAACAUUACAAUUGUUACAAAUUACAAAUUGUUACACAUUACAAAUACAAGUCCCAAAGCUG